GACGAACGCUGGCGGCGUGCUUAACACAUGCAAGUCGAACGGAAAGGCCCUGCUUUUGUGGGGUGCUCGAGUGGCGAACGGGUGUGUAACACGUGAGUAACCUGCCCUUGACUUUGGGAUAACUUCAGGAGACUGGGGCUAAUACCGGAUAGGAGCUCCUGCUGCAUGGUGGGGGAUGGAAAGUUUCGGCGGUUGGGGCUGGACUCGCGGCUUAUCAGCUUGUUGGUGGGGUAGUGGCUUACCAAGGCUUUGACGGGUAGCCGGCCUGAGAGGGUGACCGGCCACAUUGGGACUGAGAUAGGGCCCAGACUCCUACGGGAGGCAGCAGUGGGAAAUAUUGCGCAAUGGGCGGAAGCCUGAUGCAGCAGCGCCGCGUGCGGGAUGACGGCCUUCGGGUUGUAAACCGCUUUCGCCGGUGACGAAGCGUGAGUGACGGUAAUGGGUAAAGAAGCACCGGCUAACUACGUG
rnacentral:rRNA from 1 species